GAUCAUGGCUCAGGAUGAACGCUGGCGGCAUGCCUAAGACAUGCAAGUCGAACGAGAUGGCCCAGUGAAGGUUGCGUGCUUGCACAAGACUGAAUCUGGAUUCCCACCUAGUGGCAGACGGGUGAGUAACACGUGGGUGACCUACCUUUUCGUUGGGGAUAACAGUUGGAAACGAUUGCUAAUACCGAAUAAAAUGUAAGAGUCAAUUUUACAUUGAAAGGAGCCUUUAAAGCUUCGCGAUUAG
rnacentral:rRNA from 1 species